GACGCCUAGGCCCCGAAGAGACGGACUACAUCAGAAUUCUGAGCUGGGCACCCUGGGCACCAGGAUGUCCUCAGGCUUCCCCAGGUGAUUUUGAUUUGCAGGCAGGUUUGAGAACCCGCCCUCCGACCUCUUCCUUCUGCGAAGUCCUGUAGUUUGACCUACGUUUACCCUGUGCCUUUCGCUUCUUGAUGGCUGGCUUGUGUGUGUUUGUCUUGUCCCCUGAGCAAAGCCAAGUUCUUGCGAGGAAGCACCACCUAGCUUCCCUCACGACCCCCGGCGAGUGCUGACCUCCUUUCCACACUGUCAAGACGAGUUCGCCAGGAGGCUGGUGCACACACAGCAGGUCAUUUAUCUCCAUCUCUCUUCGCCUCCCCACGGGCCCUUCCUGCUCAGCAGCGGCUGUCACUCGGAUCCCCUAGGAGCCGACCUCUGCCUUUCCACGUGUGGCUCUCGGUGGGGACUCCUCAAAGCAAAUCCAGAGGGCCUGCCCCGCCCUCCAGACAGCCUGUCCCUAACGGCAGGGUCGAGGUCCGCGUGCGCCGCGCGUGCGCAGCCAGCCUGCGCCCCGUCCAUCCACUCCCAGCCCCCUGCGGCGGCCCCUUGGCCUCACCACUGCCCUGCAUCCUCGGGAGGUGCUCGGGGGAAGAGAAACAUGCAGGCUAGGGCAGAAAAUAUUCUCCAAAAUGGCCACAGAAACAUCUCCCACGCCGUGGACUCUUCUACCGUGUAACCUAGCCCCGCGGCCAUCAACCUUGCCCCCAUCCCUCCCCGGACCUGGCCAGACUUUUGUUUCUGCCUCUACCAAUAACAUGACAGAAGGGCCUCUGGAAGCGGGUCCUGAAAGGUGAUUCGGCUUCCUCCUGGGUCUCCCUCCUGGGACACUUGUUUCUAGAACCACUGGCCACAAGCCUUUAAAACUAUAAUGCACCUGCCUUGAAGCACUCGGAUGAGAACUAAGAUGAAAAUGCAUAGGGAAGACUUAUCCCAGCCUUUGGCAUAUAGCGAGCAGUUGCCACAAGCUGAUGCACAGGUGCGCAUCCUCUCUGCUGGGCCUGAAGACCCCGAUGGCUCCAACCCACUACGUGAAGCCACCUCCCCCUCCCCCGCCCCAACUCUGACAACGGCAUCUAUGUUUCUUCAUGGAAAAACCUUCUCGACUCAAUUCACUGCCAAGCCAGGCGAGCGCUCCAACUCGACAGAAUUAUCAGCACUGAGCUAACAGAGACAGAUGAACCGAGAGGCGAGUGGGGACAGCGAGCAAACAGAUCUAUUUCCCAGCUCCGAGAUCCGGUCUGGGCUUCCCCCCAACAAAAGACGAACUUCUCUGCGGAGGUGUCCACGGAGCCCCUGUGUUAAGUCAAUUUUCCUCCCCUUGGCCUUCCAUGAGUGGCUGAGGAAGGAGGUGGGGGGCCCAGGUGGCGAACCCCAACACUGGCCCUGAGCAUCUUCUCACCCAGGGAGGCUUUCCCGCCAUCCCAUCUAAGAGGCCGCUGGAGGACCAGGGGGAAAAAAGAGUUUGAAAAAUGCAGUUCUUUGGUGAAAAGAUUGGCUGUCUGAGGGCUGAAUGGAAAACAGUCAACUUCAAUCCGAUGGGAAAUUCUUCUUUCCCCGGGCUUUCUAUCUUACGAGUUUUCACAGCCAAUCUUAAGCCCCUGGCAGCCCCCUGGGGAUUGGAGCUGCUUGUAGGGGGGCUGUGGGUCCUGCUUGGAAAAGGCUCCCAAGAUGAUAAAACGGCGGGGCUCUCAAGUCAAUGAUCUGUGGCCGCAGACAGGCCAGGUGGUGCCCACACACAUGCUGCUAUGGGGGCUGUUGACCCCUGGGGCUGUUGCUUCCAGUGGAGGGGCAGCGCAGCUCCGGAGUCUUCCUAGUCCCCCAGGGGCACCCUGUGUGACCUGCUAAGUGAUUUCACGCCUCAAUGCCUGGACAGCCCCAUCUAUCACAUGGGACAGGGCGCACACCGUCUCUUACCACACGGGAGUCGGUCUAAAGAUCAUUGUUCACAUGUUUCGAGCUGGAGUGUUCCAGUAGCCCAGCACCUGGAAUUAGGACACUGGGUCAAAGGGCAUGUCAUUAAACAUUUUGAUAGAUACUAAAAGCUCUCCCAGUUUUCGCUCCUGUGUCAGGCAACUUUUACUGUGUAACAACUUGGAAAUUUCAGCUGCACAGAACCAGCAUUUGUUUUCUGGCUCACUUGCCUGCAGUUCAGCAGGCGGGGCUGAUCCAGGCUGGGCAUGGCUGGGCUGAGCUCCAGGCCUUGUCUCCUGUCCUCCUGGGACCUGUAGCUCCCUGGGUAAUGUUGUUCUCCUGGUGAUAGCCAAAGCACAAGAGGGACAAGCAGAAACAUUCCAGGCCCCUGAAGGCCUAGGCACAGAACUGGCCACCAUCACGCCUGCCCCCAUUCCAUUGGGCAGAGCCAGUCCUGUGGCCAAGCCCGGUGUCAGUGGGGCAGGGAGGCCUACACCUCCCGUGAAGUUUGGAGUAGGGGUGGAGUGAAUGCUUACAGAUGGGUAAUGCAGUCUACACAACCCCUGUCAUGUGUGUGCGUGUCUGCUUAUGCUCACACUCGUGCACAAAGAGGUAUGUGCAAGAAUGUUCACUGCAACACAGUGUGUGCUGUUGAAACCUGAAGAAAAAACCCCAAAUACGGUAGUCCCUCUGUAUUCGAGGGAUUGGGUCCAGGGCUCCCUGGAUACCCAAAUCUGGGAUGCUCAAGUCUCCCAUACAAAAUGUCAUAGUAUUUGCAUAUAAUCUAUGCCCCU